GUGGUAGUAAGAGUGAGCUGGAGCGGCGUAGGAGAAAGCUGGAGCAGCGGCGUAGGAAAGAGCUGGGGCAGCUACUUUAGCUACAGCUACUGGGGCAGCAAUGCUAGAGUAAGAGGUGGCGACAGCUGGGGCAGCAGAGUACUUGGCUACUACUGGGGCAGAGUAGGCAGACACGGCUGGAGCGGCAUAAGAGUGGGCUACUGGGGCGGCGUAGGCGACUGGGGCAGCUACUUUAGCUACGACUGGGGCUACGGCCUUGACAGCAACGGCGGCGGGUUCCUUGUGUACUACAGCGUUGAAACCGUUGUGGGCGUCAGCGGUGUAUUCUAC